rnacentral:rRNA from 1 species
UAGGGAAUCUUCGGCAAUGGACGGAAGUCUGACCGAGCAACGCCGCGUGAGUGAAGAAGGUUUUCGGAUCGUAAAGCUCUGUUGUAAGAGAAGAACGAGUGUGAGAGUGGAAAGUUCACACUGUGACGGUAUCUUACCAGAAAGGGACGGCUAACUACGCGCCCGCAGCCGCGAUAAUNCUUCCCACCCGAGCGUUGUCCGGAUUUAUUGGGCGUAAAGCGAGCGCAGGCGGUUAGAUAAGUCUGAAGUUAAAGGCUGUGGCUUAACCAUAGUAGGCUUUGGAAACUGUUUAACUUGAGUGCAAGAGGGGAGAGUGGAAUUCCAUGUGUAGCGGUGAAAUGCGUAGAUAUAUGGAGGAACACCGGUGGCGAAAGCGGCUCUCUGGCUUGUAACUGACGCUGAGGCUCGAAAGCGUGGGGAGCAAACAGGAUUAGAUACCCUGGUAGUCCACGCUGUAAACGAUGAGUGCUAGGUGUUAGACCCUUUCCGGGGUUUAGUGCCGUAGCUAACGCAUUAAGCACUCCGCCUGGGGAGUACGACCGCAAGGUUG